AUUUGUACAUAUACUGUUAAAUUGCACAGGUUUGUUAUGUAGGUGCCUUGUCAUAGCCUCGUCACUACUUCGUCGAGGUUAGGCUCGAUACUUACCAGUACAUGGAGUCGGUUGUACUGAUACUGCUCUUUGCACUUCCAGUGCAGAUUUUGGUAUUGGUCCCAGUUGAUCGAGAGGUGUAGCAGCUCGGACUAGUUCAUCGGAGACUCAAGGUAGAUCUAUUGGCGUUCGCAGACCUUGAAGUCCCCGUCUAUCUUUUUAGUUUUUUUUACUGUUUCUUUCAUUCAAACAGUUGUAUUUCUUUCGAACUUUUACUUGCAGUAAAUCCUAGAAGUUCGUGAAUUGUGACUCCAGAUCCGGGUGGUAGUAAUUAAUGAAGUUUUUAUAUUAUUCCGCACUCGUUGUAUUUCAUUUUAGCUUAUUUGCUGUUAUUUACUGAAUUGAAUAAGGAUUGGCUUAAUAAUUCUCUAACUUCGGCUUGCCUAGCAAGUGGAAUAUUAGGCGCAUAGGGCAUCGAUUCCAUUCCAUAGGACACUAUUACAUGGGUAGUAUUCUAAGGUUAAUGAUGGAGUACUAAAAUUAUUUUUUGUAGAUGGGUAAUCUUGAGGUGUUUACUUGGUUCAGCGUUAAAUUAGUAUGGACGUACAUUUGAAGAUUCCUGUAUUUCUUUAAUGUAUGUUUUCUUUAACCAAUGUAGUUAGCUUAGCAGAUCUUGUAGCUAGAGCUUCCUAAAAAAUCAACAAAAUCAAGAAAUUUAGAAAACCUAAAUAGUUGAUGACUUUGGUCUUUUGAUAUUUCUAUAUAUGUUCUUAAAAUUAAAUUAGUUGAUAUUGAGGUGAAUGCGAAGUAUUUCGUCUUUGAACCCAGAGACAAGGGAUAGAUUUGUAAGCUUCGACUCAUUUGUUCUUUUUCAAAUAUUUUUUGUUCCCAGGUUCUAAUGUUGCUCUAUUAGCACCAAAAUCCUUCAAUCCAGUGAGAGUACAAUAACAUUUAGACUGUUGUGAUUUUCAUGAUUUUGUUGAUCUUUUUCAAAUAAAUGGUUCUUAAGGAACAUCUUCUGUUGGAGUUCUUAGGUUAAGAAUGAUGUUAGAAAUAUACAACAAUUAUUUUAUUUGAAUAGAAACAUAUGUGGAGAAUGAUUGGUGGUCUUUUGAGAAAGGCAAUAACAUUGAUGAUUUCUGUUUCAUCCUUUCAGAUUAUGUAAUGUCCUUUAUCUUGAGCUAUCACUUAUGCAAUUUGAUUGAUAUCUAGCUUUUAGAUUUUGAAAGGAUGUAGUUGGAGUAUAUAUGAAAAUUACAUGCUUUGAAGGAGAGGGAAAUAUGCAAUAUGCGUGUGUUCCUCUCCAUUGUUAUUAUCUCUCAGAGUGGACUGUUAUUUGUCAUGACUUGAGUGAUAUUAAAGUUUGUGAACAAGAUUUAUACCUCAAUGAAUAGUUGGAAAGUAAAGUAUUUGAGUUGUUUUAGGAAAGAAAUAUUUUUGUCUGUUUGAGCUGCUAUGCAAUUGUGUACAAUGUCUUGUUCAUGUACAUGAUUCUCUAUAUGUAAAGAAAUUACUUCCUUGAAUGUUAGAACAUGCUUCUUUGAAAGAUAGUAAACUGUGUGGUUAAUUCUUCGUAAGUAAGAUGUGCUCUUGCUGGAGAAAUAGACAAUUUAGACAUUGGGAUACUUGUAUGCUAUUAUGAUGUCCUAAAGAUGCUCUAGUUGGAAAUUUUGAUGAUCCAAAUAUUUUAUUUUCAUGCUUAUAUGAAUUAGCUGAACUACUAUAACUCACUGGUACCUUAUUUCAUUUGAGUAUUGUGGAGUAUUUCAUCCAAAUGGAGAAUUACUGAAAAUAUUUUAUGUAUAGUAAAUUAUUUCAUUUGGAUUUAUUUUCGGGUUGUAUAGGCUAAUAUGUGUUGUUAAUAAGUGCAGGCACAAGAUAAAUGUCCAAAUAUAUCCAAACAGCAAGGUGUUGAACACAAAACACGAAAGUUUAUCACCCUAAUGGAGACAUGAAAAAUACCGACAACAGUAAUUUACUUCGACAAACAAAGUCCACAUCAAGAUGCUACACCAGCAGGAAUUUUGAAAUGUAUUAGACAAACUUGUAUAGCGAGGAUAUUUUGAUAGUUGUGGUAUGUAAAGUGUGAAUUCUUAGAAAUAUGUAGGAGGUAAGGUAUAUGCCCCCCUCCUUGUAUUUGACAUGUAAUUGAAAUUUCCAUCAAGGUCUUAGUGAUUUAACCUUGAUGAGUAUAUAUAUAAAAG
rnacentral:lncRNA from 1 species